rnacentral:rRNA from 1 species
GGCUCACGUCGAACGCUGGCGGCGCGCCUAACACAUGCAAGUCGAACGAGCGAGAGAGAGCUUGCUUUCUCGAGCGAGUGGCGAACGGGUGAGUAACGCGUGAGGAACCUGCCUCAAAGAGGGGGACAACAGUUGGAAACGACUGCUAAUACCGCAUAAGCCCACGGGUCGGCAUCGACCAGAGGGAAAAGGAGCAAUCCGCUUUGAGAUGGCCUCGCGUCCGAUUAGCUAGUUGGUGAGGUAACGGCCCACCAAGGCGACGAUCGGUAGCCGGACUGAGAGGUUGAACGGCCACAUUGGGACUGAGACACGGCCCAGACUCCUACGGGAGGCAGCAGUGGGGAAUAUUGCACAAUGGGGGAAACCCUGAUGCAGCGACGCCGCGUGGAGGAAGAAGGUCUUCGGAUUGUAAACUCCUGUUGUUGAGGAAGAUAAUGACGGUACUCAACAAGGAAGUGACGGCUAACUACGUGCCAGCAGCCGCGGUAAAACGUAGGUCACAAGCGUUGUCCGGAAUUACUGGGUGUAAAGGGAGCGCAGGCGGGAAGACAAGUUGGAAGUGAAAUCCAUGGGCUCAACCCAUGAACUGCUUUCAAAACUGUUUUUCUUGAGUAGUGCAGAGGUAGGCGGAAUUCCCGGUGUAGCGGUGGAAUGCGUAGAUAUCGGGAGGAACACCAGUGGCGAAGGCGGCCUACUGGGCACCAACUGACGCUGAGGCUCGAAAGUGUGGGUAGCAAACAGGAUUAGAUACCCUGGUAGUCCACACCGUAAACGAUGAUUACUAGGUGUUGGAGGAUUGACCCCUUCAGUGCCGCAGUUAACACAAUAAGUAAUCCACCUGGGGAGUACGACCGCAAGGUUGAAACUCAAAGGAAUUGACGGGGGCCCGCACAAGCAGUGGAGUAUGUGGUUUAAUUCGACGCAACGCGAAGAACCUUACCAAGUCUUGACAUCCUGCGACGGUGCUGGAAACAGUGCUUUCCUUCGGGACGCAGAGACAGGUGGUGCAUGGUUGUCGUCAGCUCGUGUCGUGAGAUGUUGGGUUAAGUCCCGCAACGAGCGCAACCCUUAUGGUCAGUUACUACGCAAGAGGACUCUGGCCAGACUGCCGUUGACAAAACGGAGGAAGGUGGGGAUGACGUCAAAUCAUCAUGCCCUUUAUGACUUGGGCUACACACGUACUACAAUGGCGUUAAACAAAGAGAAGCAAGACCGCGAGGUGGAGCAAAACUCAGAAACAACGUCCCAGUUCGGACUGCAGGCUGCAACUCGCCUGCACGAAGUCGGAAUUGCUAGUAAUCGUGGAUCAGCAUGCCACGGUGAAUACGUUCCCGGGCCUUGUACACACCGCC